rnacentral:rRNA from 1 species
UACGUAGGUGGCGAGCGUUGUCCGGAUUUAUUGGGCGUAAAGGGCGCGUAGGCGGUUUUUUAAGUCUGAUGUGAAGGCCCACGGCUCAACCGUGGAGGGUCAUUGGAAACUGGAAGACUUGAGUGCAGAAGAGGAAAGCGGAAUUCCAUGUGUAGCGGUGAAAUGCGUAGAUAUAUGGAGGAACACCAGUGGCGAAGGCGGCUCUCUGGUCUGUAACUGACGCUGAUGUGCGAAAGCGUGGGGAUCAAACAGG